CGCAAACAUACACACACGCACACAUUGUAAAGUGGAGAGAGUAACAUAACUACACACUUGAAGUAGACUUUAAUUUCUCCUGUUUUUCGUUUGUUUUAAUUGUUUUGAUUACUUAUUUCGUCACACUGUCCAGGUCAGGUGGGACAUGAGUGGCCAAUCUCAGUACCCAGGAGGGACGUUCCAGCCAGGCCCACAGACCUACCCCACAGCCCCCAGCUACCAGGUGUACUACCAGCAGCCUGAGACCAAAGUUCUACUGGUCGAGCGAGACAGAUCGGAGGACGAUGCCGUCUGCUGCUGUCUUGGCUGUCUUAUCGUCUGCUGUUCCAUCAUCUUCUGCAGCGGUCGUAAUUAAAUAUUUUACACCAUCAACAGCCGCCCAAACCACUUGACCGCGUCUCAAAUGUACAUGUUCUUUGUCAUAUGUAUAUGUCAUGAAUUCUUUUCAUUGUAAAAAAAAAACAACAUUACACAUUUUUUUCAAGCG